rnacentral:rRNA from 1 species
AUUGAACGCUGGCGGCAUGCCUUACACAUGCAAGUCGAACGGCAGCACGGGUGCUUGCACCUGAUGGCGAGUGGCGCACGGGUGAGUAAGACAUCGGAACGGGUACUGUAGCGGGAGAUAGCCCGGCGAAAGCCGGAUGAAUAGCGCAUACGAGCUACGGACGAAAGCGGGGGACCUUCGGGCCUCGCGCUAUAGGGUUGGCCGAUGGCUGUUUAGCUAGUUGGUGGGGUAAAGGCCUACCAAGGCGACGAUCAGUAGCUGGUCUGAGAGGACGACCAGCCCCACUGGGACUGGGACACGGCCCAGACUCCUACGGGAGGCCGCAGUGGGGAAUUUUGGACAAUGGGCGAAAGCCUGAUCCAGCAAUGCCGCGUGUGUGAAGAAGGCCUUCGGGUUGUAAAGCACUUUUGUUCGGGAAGAAAUCCUUCGCCUUAAUACGGUCAGGCGAUGACGGUACCUGAAGAAUAAGCACCGGCUAACUACGUG